rnacentral:tRNA from 1 species
GAUGUGGUGGCGGAAUGGUAGACGCUUGCGGGUGGCUCCUCCGGUUAAUCAGUAACGCGGCUGAUCGGCCUGAUCACCCGAUAUGGUAGAGGAGCAUGCAGGUUCAAGUCCUGCCCACAUCACCA